rnacentral:rRNA from 1 species
UGGGGAAUUUUGGACAAUGGGCGAAAGCCUGAUCCAGCAAUGCCGCGUGUGUGAAGAAGGCCUUCGGGUUGUAAAGCACUUUUGUCCGGAAAGAAAUCCUCUGGGUUAAUACCUCGGGGGGAUGACGGUACCGGAAGAAUAAGCACCGGCUAACUACGUGCCAGCAGCCGCGGUAAUACGUAGGGUGCAAGCGUUAAUCGGAAUUACUGGGCGUAAAGCGUGCGCAGGCGGUUUUGUAAGACGGAUGUGAAAUCCCCGGGCUUAACCUGGGAACUGCAUUCGUGACUGCAAGGCUAGAGUAUGGCAGAGGGGGGUAGAAUUCCACGUGUAGCAGUGAAAUGCGUAGAGAUGUGGAGGAAUACCGAUGGCGAAGGCAGCCCCCUGGGCCAAAUACUGACGCUCAUGCACGAAAGCGUGGGGAGCAAAGCAGGAUUAGAUACCCUGGUAGUCCACGCCCUAAACGAUGUCAACUAGUUGUUGGGGGAUUCAUUUCCUUAGUAACGUAGCUAACGCGUGAAGUUGACCGCCUGGGGGAGUACGGUCGCAAGAUUAAAACUCAAAGGAAUUGACGGGGUCAUAGCUGUUUCCU